UUAGGGGCAGGAGUUGGAGCCGUGCUUUGAGUCAUACCAGUGUGUUCUGCCAGCGGUAUUUAACCAGCACCACACCCUGAACAGACUUCAUAACGGGAACAAUCUACUGCUAUCUCUAGGUCCUGUUCUCUAAGGGAAGUCAGCUAUCUCUAGGUCCUGUUCUCUAAGGGAAGUCUGUUCUCUAAGGGAUUUCACAAUGGCAUUGGUUUCCGAGUUCCUGGGCCAGCUCACGCUGAAUUUUGGCGGGGAGAGCGAGCCUAAAUUCCCCACGGUGGUGGCAGAAAGGGAUUUUGAUCCAGCUAAAGAUGCCGCCAGGAUAGAAACGGCUGUCAAAACCAAGGGUGUGGAUGAGCUGACCAUCAUUGACAUCCUGACCAGACGGAGCUACAUCCCAGAGGAGAGAUUUUAGAUGGGACGCCAUCUCUGUGUAUGAGAAGAGAUCCAAGAAGGAUAUGAUCACAGCUCUGAAGGGGGCUCUGUCUGGUUCUCUGGAGGCUGUAAUUCUGGGACUGAUGAAGAGUACAGCUCAGUACGACGCCUCUGAGAUCAAAGGAUCCAUCAAGGGUCUAGGGACCGAAAACCACUGUUCUCUCCAGGAGAUACUCUGUUCUCUCCAGGAUCAGAUUGAAAACGUAAGGAUUGUGUGUUUUUUUUAUACUUUUAUAGUGUUUAAGAAGGAGCUGGAGAAGGACGUGGCUGGAGACACAUCAGGAGACUUCAGGAGUCUGCUGUUGGCCCUGGUACAGGCAAAGAGAGAUGAGCCCUCAAAUAUUGUUGACUACGAGAAGAUCGACCAGGAUGCCAGAGCUCUGUAUGAGGCUGGAGUGAAGAGGAAAGGGACUGACGUGGCUACAUGGAUCACCAUUAUGUCAGAGAGAAGUGUCCCCCACCUACAGAAAGUGUUUGACAGGUACAAGAGCUACAGUCCAUACGACAUGCAGGAGAGUAUCAGGAAGGAGGUGAAGGGAGACCUGGAGAAGUCCUUCCUGACACUGGUGGAGUGCUUUGAGAACAAACAACAGUACUUUGCUAACAGACUGGGCGAAGCCAUGAAGGGUAAAAGUGCCAAGGAGAAGGUGGUGACCAGGAUCGUCGUGUCUCGCUGUGAGGUGGACCUCAUGAAGAUCAGGACAGAGUUUAAGAAACUGAACCAGAAGUCCUUGUACCAGACCAUCGCUGAGCACACUAAAGGAGACUAUCAGAAGGUCCUGCUGAGUCUGUGUGGAGGAGACGACUAAAGUCCAACUGGCACCAACUGUCACCUUGUCCCAAAACCAAUGCCUUGUUCCUAUUUUGAUUCAGUCUAGUGACACAGACAUUGAGAACUGGUGCCUUUACCCACAACACCCAGUAGCAUUAGAGUCAUCAUUACUCAGAUUGCAUCACCUUUCUGUGAAAUAUGAGAUAUCCAACAGAAGAAUUGAUAGUAAAUGUUUUUUAUGCAAUGUUUUUUUUUAAUUAAAUAAUUUUUUGUUAAAUAGUUUCCUUUCUUAUUUUUUGAAAGAAAUUUUACAAUAUUACAGAGCUGUUGUCUUUAGGACAUUUUUCUCAGAGUAAAGUCAGACAUUUUGAAUGGUAAUUGUCGACGCUUGAUCCAGCUAGUGUAUGUCCUUAUAUCGCCACUAGAGGGCGCUAGAGCAAUACCAUACAUUCCUGCUUCCUCCUGGCCUUGUUUCCAUGGAAGAGAGGUUGCUUUGAUAUCACUCUAAUGCUCUAAUAUCUUUAUCUAAUAUCUUUAAAAUCAGAUGGGAAUGUUGAGUGGAGCUUCACAAUGCUGUUUAAAAAACCUUUUGAUACUUGGGGGUAAUUUUUCAAGACAAGCAAACCAAGUUUUUAAGUGAAUUAUAUAAAACAAAUUGUUUGAUGCUGUCAGUCAGUUUAAAAUUGUAAUCUAUUAGGAGUUCUCCCUCGCUGUGGACAAUAAUCACAUUUUCUAAACUGGAACUUUGUCUAGAAAAUAUUGGUUCAAAAUUGCGACCCAAUAGACGACAGAAGCCAUACAGUAUAUUUGUGUUUAUGUAUCUGUAAACUCCGGCGAAUUCAUAAUAAAUCACAAUUGAUUCCUGUGGAAA